GAUGUGAUGGUCAAUGUUAGACUCUGCGUCUUAUAUGCUGGAGGUGAUGGUCAAUGUUAGACUCUGCGUCUUACAUGCUGGAGGUGAUGGUCAAUGUUAGACUCUGCGUCUUAUAUGCUGGAGGUGAUGGUCAAUGUUAGACUCUGCGUCUUAUAUGCUGGAGGUGAUGGUCAAUGUUAGACUCUGCGUCUUAUAUGCUGGAGGUGAUGGUCAAUGUUAGACUCUGCGUCUUAUAUGCUGGAGGUGAUGGUCAAUGUUAGACUCUGCGUCUUAUAUGCUGGAGGUGAUGGUCAAUGUUAGACUCUGCGUCUUUAUAGCUGGAGUGUAUGGUCAAUGUUAGACUCUGGGUUACACUUCAACAGUUGUUUACUAACGUUAUAAUACAACUGCUUGAAGACUGGUGGGAGGGAUGGAGGGGUAGAGAACAUCCUAGGAAAGACUGGAGGGAAGGAGGGAAGGAGGGAGGGGUAGAGAUCAUCCUAGAAACGACUGGAGGGAGGGAUGGAGGGGUAGAGAACAUCCUAGGAAAGACUGGAGGGAAGGAGGGAAGGAGGGAGGGGUAGAGAUCAUCCUAGAAACGACUGGAGGGAGGGAUGGAGGGGUAGAGAUAAUCCUAGGAACGACUGGAGGGAGGGAUGAACGGGUAGAGAUCAUCCAAGGAACAACUGCAGGGAGGGUUCGACAGGUAGAGAUCAUCCUAGGAACGACUUGAGGAAGGGAUGGAGGGGUAUAGAUCAUCAA